CGGCGAGCGAAGUGGGAAGAGCUCAGGCUGCCAAUCUCCGGCCGAGAGGUCGGCGAAUUGUGGUCUGGAGACGCCAACUGUCCUCGCCUGCUUCCCCGGCCCGAAGUUGACCUGGAACGGCGCGUCAGAGAGGGUGACAGUCCCGUAGGGCCGUCUGUGGGAAGCGGGUGGACGUCAUUUGGCGGUCGGCGAGUCGGGUUGUUUGGGAUUGCAGCCCAAAGUGGGUGGUAAACUCCAUCCAAAGCUAAACAGCGGCACGAGACCGAUAGCGAACAAGUACCGUGAGGGAAAGGUGAAAAGCACUUUGAAAAGAGAGUCAAAGAGACCGCGAAACCGUUGGGAGGGAAGCGCACGGCGGCGAGCCGUGUCCGAGUGGGACUCAGCAGGCGUGUCUUCACCCCGGGUGCCGCGACGCCCGCUCCGGCGAGUCUCCCCGGCUGCGGUCAGGGGAGCGUCGGCGGUGGGAGAGUGGCGGUGCCGCCUGCGCACUUUCCGCCCGGACUCGUCAGCGAGGAUCGCCUCGGGCCCAAGAGGACGGUGGGGUAGGUGACCCGGCGUGGUCUCUGUGCCUCGUUGGGAGCUUACAGCCCGCCGUUGAGGCUGCGGUCGCGGCCCGAGCGUCGAUCGAGGUGUGGUGCGAGCGUCGUUUCGCCGGAGAGGCCGGGCAGACACAACGGCCGGCGUUUGUC
rnacentral:rRNA from 1 species